UUUCUAAAAGCUUCUCAUCGCUUCUCGGCCUUUUGGCUAAGAUCAAGUGUAGUAUCUAAAAGCUUCUCUGCAGGUCUGUGUGAAACAUGCCCUGGGU
rnacentral:miRNA from 14 species